GCUGAGUGAAGCCUUGUAGCCAGGCUGAGGCCUCUGUGCUGAGUGGAAGCCUACAAAGCCUACUGAGACUACAGUCCCUUCUGACCUGCCAUUUGAUGCUGCAGUUCCUGAGCCAGGGCUUCCUCUGUAGGUAGGAGGGCAACAAGGGUCUUGCAGACACAGGACAAGCUCCAGAAUCACUGCCUGGGUCAGGGAGACUGUCACCUAUGAAGUUACAAAGCCUAAGGACAUUGUGAACUGGACAGUAGAAAACAGCAACACCAAGGACCUUCCACAGAGUGUCCUGAGUUCUGGCUCAGCUGCUCUCAUUUCCUGGAGGGACUCUGGCCAUGGCUUACACCCUGCUUCUGCUCCUAACAGCAGUGUGUCUGCAAGCUGCAGGCAGCACCACCAUGAGGAGCCCCUCCACCCUCUCCUCUGCAGUCACCACAGCGGGAAGCAGGGACACAGAGGGUAAGAGGAGCCC